AUACUUACCUUGCCUGGUAGCGCUUCGCUCAAGAUUGUCGCGCUGCAGAGAGGGAGGCCUGCAUUGCACAUCGCGGUGUCAACCUCUCUCGAUUGCCCUUCGGGGCCAUCGUGGGUGGAAUUUUUGAUUUUGUCUCGUUUUCAUUGUGUUC
rnacentral:snRNA from 1 species